rnacentral:rRNA from 1 species
UACGGAGGGUGCAAGCGUUAUCCGGAUUCACUGGGUUUAAAGGGUGCGUAGGUGGGCUAGUAAGUCCGUGGUGAAAUCCCCGAGCUUAACUCGGGAACUGCCGUGGAUACUAUUAGUCUUGAAUAUUGUGGAGGCAAGCGGAAUAUGUCAUGUAGCGGUGAAAUGCUUAGAUAUGACAUAGAACACCCAUUGCGAAGGCAGCUUGCUACACAAUGAUUGACGCUGAGGCACGAAAGCGUGGGGAUCAAACAGG